rnacentral:rRNA from 1 species
CCUACGGGCGGCAGCAGUGGGGAAUAUUGCACAAUGGGCGAAACCCUGAUGCAGCGACGCCGCGUGAGUGAAGAAGUAAUUCGUUAUGUAAAGCUCUAUCAGCAGGGAAGUAAAUGACGGUACCUGUGGAAGAAGCUCCGUCUAACUACGUGCCAGCAGCCGCGGUAAUACGUAGGGGGCCAGCGUUAUCCGGAUUUACUGGGUGUAAAGGGAGCGUAGACGGCAGUGCAAGUCUGGAGUGAAAGGCGGGGGCUCAACCCCCGGACUGCAGUGGAAACUGUCCGGCUGGAGUGCAGGAGAGGUAAGUGGAAUUCGUAGUGUAGCGGUGAAAUGCGUAGAUAUUAGGAGGAACUCCGGUUGCGAAGGCGGCUUACUGGACUGUAACUGACGCUGAGGCUCGAAAGCGUGGGGAGCAAACAGGAUUAGAUACCCUAGUAGUC